AAUUUAAAUAGUAUCACUUUAUUUAAUCCCUAAUAGAAAUAGCUGUUGAACACAGUGAACUCAAAGCUGAUUUCAAAACAGAACAUAGAGUGAUGAACUUGUUGAGCAUGAGAGAAAAAAAUGACAAAAAAGAAAGAAAGAAAGAAAGGAUGAAUAAUUGGACUUGCGUUUACUUCUGUACAGUAAAUUUGUCAAAGAACAGACAUCCCUGGAAAGCGUUCUGGUACAAGUUGUAAACAUUCUUGCUGAGGAAAUAUGUUUAGAAAGGUAUUAACUGACCUUUCCUGGACAAAAUAUCCCCCUAAACUUCUCUAAGAAGUGUAAGUAGAGAUGAUCCUGAAAAAUACCCACAGUUCUAAGCAGUCAUUAACUGAGCUAAGUUAAUUUACAGUAUUUGAGGUAUUGAGUUUGGUUGAGUGGCAGCAGAGCUCUUGGCAUGUAUUUCUUUGUGAUCCCUAGAGGCAUUCUGACUGCUGGCCAGAAUCAUCCUGGAGAUUACUAAAAGCAUUUAUUGCACAUUGUUUCUUACUCACACUCUGCUGUGCUUAAAAGCAGUAAUAAUUUCACUGUUUUGAACUAAAUCGUGUCUGAUCUUACUGCGGAUGUAAAAGGAGAGGUGAUACUAUGUGAUGUCCUCCUAGUUCUUUUGCUUAUUCUUGGCUAGUUCUCACCUUCAUCUGAAAGGUGGAAGAGUGGGGGAGGGCAUGGUAGCCACAAUACUCUUCCUGAUAUCUCUGCAAGCCCGUGGAUCCAAAAGGAUACUUCCACCAAGGCAGCCAGGGUCUCUAAAAGAGGUACUUUGUACUGCCCCAGGCAUACUUGUGUCCAGGAUGUGGGAGUUGGGAAAAGAAAUGUGCCCUGUAAGGGAUGAAAGUCAGCUGUUUUUAUCUCUCAAUCUUAGUAGCACUGUCUUAUUAGAUGAUGUUUUAAUUUACAAAGAGAAAGUCUAAACUCUUAAUCUAUUUUUAUACAGUGUCUGUGGCUCUCUCUUAUUGGUCUGCAAUAGAAGUCUUCCAUGAUCUUUAUACAGUGGUAUUUUGUAGUAUUCAUUGCUGAAAAGAAAAACAAACAUCCACAGCUGGCAAGAUUUUACAGUUUGGGAUUGUAUUUUAUUAAAAAUAAU
ensembl:lncRNA